AUGAAAAGAAGAAAUAAUUCAUCACUAGGGUUUGCAGAUAGGAAUCAGAAUAUUUGUUUGUUUUAUCACAAUCAUUUUCCCCAACUGCAAAUCACAAAAAAGACUACCUUUCUUGGUUCACAAAAGAAGAAAAAAAAUAAAAAUUACAAACAGCAAGCAAUAACAUGUGCAAUUCAAAGCCACAACAUAACCAAGUCUGUAAAGAAAACCCUAUCCAUUGCUGCCCAACCUGUUAUACAUACAACACCCAAACUACAAGCCAAAUAA